CCGAGAUAACAAGGAAGACAGACACCGAAGCCUAAACAAGAAGAGAUGGACUCACCGUGUGUCUGUCAGUGAUGUAUUUACUGGAGAAACUCCAUCUGGACUGCCGUUGGUGGCCAAAGAGGAUAACAGCAGCAAACUGACGGAGUCCAAUUCCUUGAAGAAGGUCUCAGAUGACCUGAUGGAGGUAGAGAAGACACUGACUGUGCUCCUCAACAGCAGGAAGGAAGAAGGAAAGCCUGGGUACUGGACCAGAGUGGCUAACAGAAUCAACAAAGUUUUCUUCAUUUUCUAUGUCACAGUAGCCAGUCUGUUUUUAGCUUGUAUCUUUAUAACAUGGAUCUAUGCAGCAGACGAGUAGAGCUAAAGUUAAACAUAGUGAAUUCAUUGUUCCAUAUAACAUUUAUGUUAAAACAUCUGGUUCACACCAAUAGUUCAAGAAAAAAUGACCCAUGUUUCUUUGCAUAUGGCUAUUGAGGGUU